UACGUAGGGUGCGAGCGUUGUCCGGAAUUACUGGGCGUAAAGAGCUCGUAGGCGGUUUGUCGCGUCGGGAGUGAAAACCUCGGGCUUAACUCGGGGCUUGCUUUCGAUACGGGCAGACUGGAGGUAUGCAGGGGAGAACGGAAUUCCUGGUGUAGCGGUGAAAUGCGCAGAUAUCAGGAGGAACACCGAUGGCGAAGGCAGGUCUCUGGGCCACUACUGACGCUGAGAAGCGAAAGCAUGGGGAGCGAACAGG
rnacentral:rRNA from 1 species